UGGGGAAUAUUGGACAAUGGGCGAAAGCCUGAUCCAGCCAUGCCGCAUGUGUGAAGAAGGUCUUCGGAUUGUAAAGCACUUUAAGUUGGGAGGAAGGGCAGUAAGCGAAUACCUUGCUGUUUUGACGUUACCGACAGAAUAAGCACCGGCUAACUCUGUGCCAGCAGCCGCGGUAAUACAGAGGGUGCAAGCGUUAAUCGGAAUUACUGGGCGUAAAGCGCGCGUAGGUGGUUCGUUAAGUUGAAUGUGAAAGCCCCGGGCUCAACCUGGGAACUGCAUCCAAAACUGGCGAGCUAGAGUAGGGCAGAGGGUGGUGGAAUUUCCUGUGUAGCGGUGAAAUGCGUAGAUAUAGGAAGGAACACCAGUGGCGAAGGCGACCACCUGGGCUCAUACUGACCCUGAGGUGCGAAAGCGUGGGGAGCAAACAGG
rnacentral:rRNA from 1 species